rnacentral:rRNA from 1 species
CACAUGCAAGUCGAGCGAUGAAACUACUUCGGUAGUGAAUUAGCGGCGAACGGGUGAGGAACACGUGAGGAAUCUGCCUUCAACACUGGGAUAACUCCGGGAAACCGGGGCUAAUACCGGAUACGAGCCUUGAUCGCAUGAUCGAGGCUGGAAAGUUUUUCGGUUGAAGAUGACCUCGCGGCCUAUCAGCUUGUUGGUGAGGUAAUGGCUCACCAAGGCGACGACGGGUAGCCGGCCUGAGAGGGCGACCGGCCACACUGGGACUGAGACACGGCCCAGACUCCUACGGGAGGCAGCAGUGGGGAAUAUUGGGCAAUGGAGGAAACUCUGACCCAGCGACGCCGCGUGCGGGAUGAAGGCCUUCGGGUUGUAAACCGCUUUCAGUAGGGAAGAAGCGAAAGUGACGGUACCUACAGAAGAAGCACCGGCUAACUAUGUGCCAGCAGCCGCGGUAAUACAUAGGGUGCAAGCGUUGUCCGGAAUUAUUGGGCGUAAAGAGCUCGUAGGUGGUUUGAUACGUCGGGUGUGAAAUUCAGGGGCUCAACCCCUGACCUGCAUUCGAUACGGUCAAGCUAGAGUUUGGUAGGGGAGACUGGAAUUCCUGGUGUAGCGGUGGAAUGCGCAGAUAUCAGGAGGAACACCGAUGGCGAAGGCAGGUCUCUGGGCCAAUACUGACACUGAGGAGCGAAAGCGUGGGGAGCGAACAGGAUUAGAUACCCUGGUAGUCCACGCCGUAAACGGUGGGCGCUAGUUGUGCGAACCUUCCACGGUUUGUGCGACGCAGCUAACGCAUUAAGCGCCCCGCCUGGGGAGUACGAUCGCAAGAUUAAAACUCAAAGGAAUUGACGG